GAUGAACGCUGGCGGCGUGCCUAAUACAUGCAAGUCGAGCGAACAGACGAGGAGCUUGCUCCUCUGACGUUAGCGGCGGACGGGUGAGUAACACGUGGAUAACCUACCUAUAUGACUGGGAUAACUUCGGGAAACCGGAGCUAAUACCGGAUAAUAUAUUGAACCGCAUGGUUCAAUAGUGAAAGACGGUUUUGCUGUCACUUAUAGAUGGAUCCGCGCCGCAUUAGCUAGUUGGUAAGGUAACGGCUUACCAAGGCAACGAUGCGUAGCCGACCUGAGAGGGGGAUCGGCCACACUGGAACUGAGACACGGUCCAGACGCCUACGGGAGGCAGCAGUAGGGAAUCUUCCGCAAUGGGCGAAAGCCUGACGGAGCAACGCCGCGUGAGUGAUGAAGGUCUUCGGAUCGUAAAACUCUGUUAUUAGGGAAGAACAAAUGUGUAAGUAACUAUGCACGUCUUGACGGUACCUAAUCAGAAAGCCACGGCUAACUACGUG
rnacentral:rRNA from 1 species